AGUCAACAUGCCCAGGGGACGUGGAUAACCUCGGGAAACUGAGGAUAAACCGCGAUAGGUCAUCACUUCUGGAAUGGGUAAUGACUUAAAUCUACAUGGCCCCUGGAUUGGACUGCGGCCGAUCAGGCUGUUGGUGAGGUAAUGGCCCACCAAACCUGUAACCGGUACGGGCUCUGAGAGGAGGAGCCCGGAGAUGGGCACUGAGACAAGGGCCCAGGCCCUAUGGGGCGCAGCAGGCGCGAAACCUCUGCAAUAGGCGAAAGCUUGACAGGGUUACUCUGAGUGAUUUCCGUUAAGGAGAUCUUUUGGCACCUCUAAAAAUGGUGCAGAAUAAGGGGUGGCAAGUCUGGUGUCAGCCGCCGCGGUAAUACCAGCACCCCGAGUGGUCGGGACGUUUAUUGGGCCUAAAGCAUCCGUAGCCGGUUCUACAAGUCUUCCGUUAAAUCCACCUGCUUAACAGAUGGGCUGCGGAAGAUACUAUAGAGCUAGGAGGCGGGAGAGGCAAGCGGUACUCGAUGGGUAGGGGUAAAAUCCGUUGAUCCAUUGAAGACCACCAGUGGCGAAGGCGGCUUGCCAGAACGCGCUCGACGGUGAGGGAUGAAAGCUGGGGGAGCAAACCGGAUUAGAUACCCGGGUAGUCCCAGCUGUAAACGAUGCAGACUCGGUGAUGAGUUGGCUUAUUGCUAACUCAGUGCCGCAGGGAAGCCGUUAAGUUUGCCGCCUGGGGAGUACGGUCGCAAGACUGAAACUUAA
rnacentral:rRNA from 1 species